rnacentral:tRNA from 1 species
UCCAGGGUAGCCUAGUGGACAUGGCAUUUGCCCGGUAAGCGGAAGGUCGUGGGUUCGAUUCCCGCCCCUGGAC